rnacentral:lncRNA from 1 species
AUUGGGCUCUCGGGAACUGGAAGGCACACUGUGUCCCAGGAGUCACGGGCUAUAACCUGAAGAACCCGGCACACGUUUCUCAGCUAAGCCAGGCUGACUCCAUGGUUUCCUGCAUGGCAUAAGUUGGAAAAUAUGAGGCUUAUCCUCAGUUUGCCCUGACUUACCUGGAGAACUUAACUGCUCAGUGGAUGUGAGCCAGACAGAGGACAAUAUUGCCCAUGGUGCCUGGACCACUGCUCAUCAAGAACAUUGUGUAGAAGAGGCCAGUGUGAUAGCCAGAGGGUUUCCAGAAACACAUCAACAGCCCUUUACUGAAGCAGCUGCCAGAGCCCUCAGGCACUUAGGUGGUGCCAGAAGGCUCUCUUGAGGAGACAGAGAGGCUGCCAGUGCUGCUGCUGAGGAAGCUGGAAGGGAAAGAUCCCAGGGCUCCUGCUCAGAGGAAUGUGACUGGCCAGUAGAAGGUCUAUUGGACACAAACAGCUCUCCCAUGAAGAGGAUGGCAAGUAAGAGACCAGAUCUGCUUGUCCCUAUGCGACUCCGAGUUCUAAGGAAUGGAGAGAAGAAAAACAUCAGACCCCUGGUGAUUGGCCCGGACAUCUCACCUGGAUGGAAAUCACA